rnacentral:sRNA from 1 species
AGGGAGGUGAAUUUUUCGUCCCCUGUCCUCUCCAGUGUCUGCAUUUUCGUCUCUCAACCGGCCUGGGUCAAGUUUUGACCAAUCUUCCUUGAAGUAGCACGUAUCAAUUAACCUGGGGAAGGUGUUUUGUGAGCGUCCUCUUUCGAAGCAGAAGAGAAAACUCAAGUGCACAACUGGCUUGCUUAUUUUGUUUUAUUAAUUUCAUAGGUAUGAGCGGUGCAUAAAUUUAUGCUGAUUAUUGAUGCAGGAAUCCGGUUUUCGCGGUCUUUGCUUUCGCUAUGUUGCCAUCACACAGCAACAGAUUUCUGCGUGGUUUUCCACUGGUUGGAGAGAAAAUGACCGCUCUCAAAGGCAUCCAUGACAUCCCACCGCCCAUUUUGUAAUUGGCGAGCCAAUUAAAAAAGCGAGCGGCUACGAGAUGAUCAACUUCCCGAAAACAGAAAUCAUCACAGACAUCGCUGGCGUUGGCAAUGGAAUCAUUGCCUCGUAUCAUUGGCGGUCCGUCUUGUUAGUGAAGGCUUGGAAGUGGCCGCAAUUGCUCUGGGCUGGAGCUGGCUCAACUAGUCUGUCUUGGUAAGCGAAAGGCAAGCUCUGGCUUCGGCCUCCAGCACUCCCACCAGAACAACUCUAUCUCAACCUCCUUUGACACCGCCCUCGAAUUGGCCUCUGUCGACUUCUUCGUUUCCUCCAUUCUUCCUUGUCCCUGGGUUGACGGGACGACCCCUUUCUCUGCAAUUGACCUCUGGCUGGCUCCUGAGAAGCUCGCGGGUGUUGUGACUCUGGAGCCCUUCGCGCUUUAUUCCGUUCUUCCCACCCGUUUGUUCCGGGUUCCUACAGCCCGACCAGCUGCGCAGCUUCUCAGCCAAAGUCCCCAACGCUCCUUUACAUCCAUUUUUGCGAGUACAUAAUUACCAUAACCUAAUUGCCAUUCUUUUAAUUUGUUUUUUGGUUUCCGUUGCGGGGGACAAGCGACCUCAAAGGCCAAUCGAAUUGUCGAAGCAAAUGUCCAGAACGAGUAUUCUCUUCCUCGGUGGCAAUGGUCACACAAAAUGGAAAUGCCAGAUACCAUCCUCCCGAUAGUCGAAACGAUGCCCAAAAUGGCCUUCCCGUCAGCCCUGUCAGUCCCUACCGCGCAUAUCAACCCGGCAGAUCUCCGACCUACCAACCUACCAUUCCCGAAGCCUCCUCGAGUCACCUCAAUAUGGCCAAUGCCCCUCCAACUCAUCAAUCGCCUACGAGCCAUACUAGUCCCACUUACCGAUCACCGACGUAUCAGGUGGCCACUGAUCAUGAUAGUCAAUCGUCAUGGCUCUCUAGGAACGAGAUGGAAAGGAGACGACCAGCACUACAUAAUGGGAACCCUCGAAUUGGUCUAAAAUCUACCGCGUCAGCUUCGAGUAUUCGCCAAAUGCAACAUUCGCAGUUCCGCCUUGAUCAGCUCCCGUUUACUUCAGGCCCUGCUCAGCUACGUUUCCCACCUCACUAUCAUCCGCCAGACGUUCGCAUUGACAGUGAAAUACGAUCCAGUUCGCAAUCUGCUUUGACAGCAUCGAGCGCAGAACCAACUAGUGGUACAGAAAGAAGCAGCAUUGUUACAAAAAACAGUUCUGUGACUGAUUUAUCGCCAGAAGAACCUGAUAUAGACGGAGGAUGGAGUGUUGAGGACGCUAUAUCACUGUAUCUAAAUGGCUUUACUGAUGACCCCCCUGACCCUGCGACUGGUUCUCCGACAUAUGUAGGAGAAAUACCUGAGGCCCUGAUGAACGAAGCACCUGCGACCGGAACACCGAUGAAUGAGAUACCAAUGAUUGAAAGCCAAGUCGCUGAACGUCAAAGGUCUAUGGAACUCCAGGAGGCUAUAAACAGUGACAUGGCUCAUCCCGAAGCUCCUAUAGCAGUUGAAAUAAAACCUAUACAUGCCUCUUCCCAGCGCCAACCCAUGAGGUUGGUAAUACCUCCUGCACUUCCGGGUAUAGUUCCACCCCCACGAUCUCCUGCAACUAGCCUACAUGAUCAAUAUGGCUUUCAAAGAUCGUCAAGCCAUAUCUCACCCAGUGGUUACGAUACUUGGUUUCGCUCUUAUUCUGCUUAUCAAGAGACCCGGAAACAAAAGUGGGAGGGGCUACUAAAGGAAUAUGGCUUGCCAUGUGAUAACCCUCCUACUUUUCCACCAAAGUCUGCCAAGGUCAAACGCUAUAUCCGGAGAGGUAUACCCCCUGAAUACCGCGGGGCAGCUUGGUUUUACUAUGCAGGGGGUUACGACCGCUACCACAGAUUCCGUGGUCGUUAUCACCAGCUAGUCGAACAGACCAUGAAUGGACCAUCAAAUGAUGACAAGGAGCAUAUUGAACGAGAUCUUCACAGAACAUUUCCGGAUAACAUCCACUUCAAGCCAGACCCUAUACCCCAGCCAGGAGUCCAUUCCUCUCCGGAUAGCGGCAGCAGUAAUCCAAAAUAUCUCUCUAAAACCCCAGAAGCCGAAAUCAUUCAAUCGUUGCGCCGUGUAUUGUAUGCAUUUGCGGCGCAUAAUCCAAAGAUCGGCUAUACACAGUCUCUCAAUUUUAUUGCGGGGAUGCUUCUUCUGUUUCUUCCAGAAGAGAAAGCGUUUUGGAUGCUUGACAUUAUCACAUCAUCCUACCUGCCUGGAACCCAUGAGAUCAGCCUUGAAGGCGCAAAUAUUGAUCUCUGGAUUCUCAUGGUGGCUUUGAAAGAUUCAAUGCCUGCAAUAUACACUAAGGUUGCUAGCACAACGCCAACCACUCCCAAGUCUAAACCUCCACCAAUCAACACCAAAACACGACUGCCAGACAUUACUCUUGGCCUAACGAGCUGGCUGAUGUCUCUGUACAUCGGCAGUCUACCACUUGAAACCACGCUGCGCGUAUGGGAUGUUUUCUUCUAUGAAGGGUCUAGAACUUUUUUCAGAGUCGCUUUAGCAAUUUUCAAGAGCAGCGAAAAGGAAAUACUCAGUCUCAGCGACCCGAUGGAGAUUUUCCAGGUGGUGCAAUCUGCACCAAAAAAACUUAUAGAUGCGAGUGCUCUGGUAGACGAGUGUUUCACACGGCGAUUCAGGCUGACCCAAGCCCGCGUCGAGGAGCUUCGUGCCGCCCGUAGAACCGCAAUCAGGGAAGAAAAGGACCGACUUUCAAUGCUGGCUAGUAGGGGGAACGCCCAAUCUGGAUCCAAUGGCCUGUCCACUGCUCGGGCGACAACCCCAUUACCUACAUCUUGGAGAAACCUGAAACACACGUUUAAAUGAGCUGAUACCCAUUUCUUCUCUCUCUCCCAUAUUAUUUUUAACUUAUCCCUUCAAUGCAUUUUUGAAUCGUCUCUUUGCCAGUGCUCGCCCCAAAUUUUGGCACCUGUAAGAUAGGCUAAUGAGAAGCACCGAGAGAGAAAUAAGAGAUUUUUUUGGUUCACCGCCUUGAUGGUUUCAACUUUCAUUGUUGUGUAUUUUCUGACCCUUCUCUUGCUCAAUUGCGCACCUUCCGAUUAUGUGGUGUGGCACCAAGCAAACACCAAAUUUCAACAAUGAAAUAAUGAGAGCACAUUUGGAUAUGGCACUGUGGAUAUAUAUCACUCUAAAUUCUAUUCCAGUCCCUCAGGUUAUUACAAGUCUUGGCCUGGCUACUCCAGCAACUCUCUCUUCUGAAGUUUCACUCCUCCUAUUCAUGCAAUUGGAUACUUGCAUUUUCGUUCUAAUUUUUCUCCUCUUUUCUUUCCUUUUCUUUCCUUUUUUUACCUUGAUUGCUAUUUCCUUCUCUUUCCAAAUUCCAUAUUCUAUUCAUAAUUCUUUCACUAUUUUUGUGAGGAGAUCAUUAUAAUUUCAGGAUAUGUCAUCCUAGUCUCUGGAGACCCUUAGGCAAAAUGCCUACCUCACUUGGCCAGUGCAUAUUAUGACCUCUCAUUCGCAGAUUCUUUUAUUUUUCCCGUUUUUUCCAGGUCCACACUUUUAUUGGCAUUCCUUUCCUUUCUUCUUCACUUUCCUGUUGGCUAUGUUCUUCUCACGGGCGUCUUCAAGCAAGGUUCCAACUUUUUGUACCAUAGAGGAUAGAAAUAAUCAGUUAUCGUAGUUUCCAAAAAAAAGAAAGAAAA